CACGUAGGCACCAAGCGUUGUCCGGAUUUAUUGGGCGUAAAGAGCUCGUAGGCGGUUCAGUAAGUCAGGUGUGAAAUCUUUGGGCUUAACCCAAAGCGUGCACUUGAUACUGCUGUGACUUGAGUUCGGUAGGGGAGUGGGGAAUUCCUAGUGUAGCGGUGAAAUGCGCAGAUAUUAGGAGGAACACCGGUGGCGAAGGCGCCACUCUGGGCCGAAACUGACGCUGAGGAGCGAAAGCGUGGGUAGCGAACAGG
rnacentral:rRNA from 1 species